AAGAACCUGAGCUGGGUCUGGAUUUAGUGCGACAGGUUAGUUUUACCCUACUGAUGUACCGUCGUUGCAAUAGUAAUCCUGCUCAGUACGAGAGGAACCGCAGGUUCAGACAUUUGGUGCGUGUGCUUGGCUGAGGAGCCACUGGUGCGAAGCUACCAUCUGUGGGAUUAUGACUGAACGCCUCUAAGUCAGAAUCCCGCCUAAACGUAACGAUACCCCGGGUAGAUGUAAAUACACAGUACUCCUGUUCAUUACGAGAGGA